UAGGGAAUCUUCCACAAUGGACGCAAGUCUGAUGGAGCAACGCCGCGUGAGUGAAGAAGGUUUUCGGAUCGUAAAGCUCUGUUGUUGGUGAAGAAGGAUAGAGGCAGUAACUGGCCUUUAUUUGACGGUAAUCAACCAGAAAGUCACGGCUAACUACGUGCCAGCAGCCGCGGUAAUACGUAGGUGGCAAGCGUUGUCCGGAUUUAUUGGGCGUAAAGCGAGCGCAGGCGGAAGAAUAAGUCUGAUGUGAAAGCCCUCGGCUUAACCGAGGAAUUGCAUCGGAAACUGUUUUCUGAGUGCAGAAGAGGAGAGUAGAACUCCAUGUGUAGCGGUGGAAUGCGUAGAUAUAUGGAAGAAUACCAGUGGCGAAGGCGGCUCUCUGGUCUGCAACUGACGCUGAGGCUCGAAAGCAUGGGUAGCGAACAGGAUUAGAUACCCUGG
rnacentral:rRNA from 1 species